rnacentral:rRNA from 1 species
CAACUUGAGAAUUUGAUCUUGGUUCAGAUUGAAUGCUGACAGCGUGGAUGAGGCAUGCAAGUCGAACGAGAUGAUAGGGCAACCUUUCAUCUAGUGGCGGAUGGGUUAGUAAUACAUGAACAACUUGCCUCUAACCUGGGGAUAACGGCUGGAAACGGCCGCUAAUACCGAAUGAGGUGGCGAGGGGAUUCCCUUGUUUAUCAAAGUAGAGGACCGGGAGACCGGCUUUGCGGUUAGAGAGAGGUUCAUGCGAUAUCAGCUAGUUGGUGUGGUAAUGGCGCACCAAGGCUAAGACGUCUAGGCGGAUUGAGAGAUUGACCGCCAACAUUGGGACUGAGAUACUGCCCAGACUCCUACGGGAGGCUGCAGUCGAGGAUCUUUCGCAAUGGGCGCAAGCCUGACGGAGCGACGCUGUGUGAGUGAUGAAGGCCUUCGGGUUGUAAAACUCUUUUGUUUGGGAACAAGAAAGAUUCGUGAAUAACGAGUCAAUUUGAGGGUACCAGAAGAAAAAGUACCGGCUAACUACGUGCCAGCAGCUGCGGUAAUACGUAGGGUACAAGCAUUAAUCGGAAUUAUUGGGCGUAAAGGGCGCGUAGGCGGUUUGACAAGUCUGAUGUGAAAUCUAUGGGCUCAACCCAUAGCCUGCAUCGGAAACUGUCGGGCUUGAGUAUGGGAGAGGUGAGUGGAAUUUCCGGUGUAGCGGUGAAAUGCGUAGAUAUCGGAAGGAACACCUGUGGCGAAAGCGGCUCACUGGACCAUUACUGACGCUGAGGCGCGAAAGC